rnacentral:tRNA from 1 species
GGCAAUAUUGCCUAGCGGGUAGGGCACUGGAUGGGGACUCAGGAGAGCUAGGUUCAAUUCCCAGCACUGCCA